rnacentral:rRNA from 1 species
GACGAACGCUGGCGGCGUGCUUAACACAUGCAAGUCGAACGGAAAGGCCCUGCUUUUGUGGGGUGCUCGAGUGGCGAACGGGUGAGUAACACGUGAGUAACCUGCCCUUGACUUUGGGAUAACUUCAGGAAACUGGGGCUAAUACCGGAUAGGAGCUCCUGCUGCCUGGUGGGGGUUGGAAAGUUUCGGCGGUUGGGGAUGGACUCGCGGCUUAUCAGCUUGUUGGUGGGGUAGUGGCUUACCAAGGCUUUGACGGGUAGCCGGCCUGAGAGGGUGACCGGCCACAUUGGGACUGAGAUACGGCCCAGACUCCUACGGGAGGCAGCAGUGGGGAAUAUUGCACAAUGGGCGGAAGCCUGAUGCAGCAACGCCGCGUGCGGGAUGACGGCCUUCGGGUUGUAAACCGCUUUCGCCUGUGACGAAGCGUGAGUGACGGUAAUGUGUAAAGAAGCACCGGCUAACUACGUG